AAAUGCGAUAAGUAAUGUGAAUUGCAGAAUUCAGUGAAUCAUCGAAUCUUUGAACGCACCUUGCGCUCCUUGGUAUUCCUUGGAGCAUGCCUGUUUGAGUAUCAUGAAAUCUUCAAAGUAAAUCUUUUGUUAACUCAAUUGGUUUCUACUUUGGUAUUGGAGGUCUUUGCAGCUUCACACCUGCUCCUCUUUGUUCAUUAGCUGGAUCUCAGUGUUAUGCUCGGUUCCACUCGGCGUGAUAAGUUAUCUAUCGCUGAGGACACUGUAAAAGGUGGCCAAGGUAAAUGCAGAUGAACCGCUUCUAAUAGUCCAUUGACUUGGACAAUACUUUUAUGAUCUGAUCUCAAAUCAGGUAGGACUACCCGCUGAACUUAAGC
rnacentral:misc_RNA from 1 species